UCCCUUAUCUAUAGGGGGGUCACUGAAGCAGAAUCAAUUGAAUGCAUUUUCUUCUUUUUCUUUCUUCUAUGGCUUUCUCAGCAACCUUUUCGAAGAGCUCAUUUUCAUACAUUUCUACACUUCUACACUCGCCAGCAAGAAGAAUCCCAUUUCGAAUACGAGUAGUUAAAGCUGAAAAAUCGGCCGAACCCGCAAGUGAUCAGAAGCUUACAGAGACAAAAACUCAAGAAAUUUCUACCAAUUCUCAACGUGCAUCAUCCACGAGUCCUCCUCCUAAGCCCAAAAAGCCUGUAUAUUCAAUGAAAAAGGGGCAGAUUGUGAGAGUGGAUAAGGAGAAGUACCUUAAUAGUAUCAAUAUUCAGCAAUGCAAUGCUGAACUACAGAAAACCUCAUUUGGCUAUGGAAAAGCUGACAUGAAUGUAAGUACUUAUCUGUUGGACAUCCACCUUAUUAUAAAGGUUUGGACUACAUAUAUGAAGAUAGGGGGGAGGUGCUGGACAUUCGGAUAUUUGAGACAGGAGAGUAUGCGCUGAGAAAUCAGUAGAGGAAAGAUAUUACAUCUCAAACCGCGAUUUUCUGUUUCAUGAACAAAAAAGAUUGGAUGGGUUGGAAUACCAACUGCACCAGCUUGGCUUCCAACAGACAUGCUUAUCAAGUCCGAUAAGCUAGAUUAUGAAAGAAUGUAAGGAUUCAGAGGCACAGCCAGAGAAAUGGUGAUCUUAAUACUUCAAAACUAGGAGAGGAUACCAUGUUUUGAAGCACAUGUGAAUUUUACAGGCUCUUGCUUUCUUACUAGUCAUUGUAGCUUAACGUAAUAUUGCAGUGACCGUAAACCAAAUUAUCUGCUUUGAGACUGUGGCUUUGAUUUGUGGUCAUUGAAUGGCUUUAUCAGGAGAAGAAAAUGCUUCCAAUUGAAAACAUUUUCAUGGAGGGUAUAAACAACAUUUAGAAUAUGCCAUAUUUCAUUUACUUUUGAAACGAAAGAUUACAGUUAUCAGGACAAAAAAAGUCCUUCAAGCUGAAAGAACUCUUAUAGAGGGUAUAAACUAGGAUAUGUUGUACCUC